ensembl:snRNA U6 U6 spliceosomal RNA
GUGCUCGUUUCAGCAGCACGUGUACUAAAAUGGGGAUGAGAUGGAGAAUGGAGAUUAGCAUGGCCCCUGCUCAGGAGGGCAUGCAAACUCAUGAAAUGUUCCAUAGUUUU